GGGAAUGUGGCUCAGUGGUAGAGUGCUUGCCUCACAUGCAAGAGGCUCUGGGUUCGAUUCCUCAGCACUA
rfam:Dipodomys ordii contig_30322, whole genome shotgun sequence.